UACGUAGGGUCCGAGCGUUGUCCGGAAUUAUUGGGCGUAAAGGGCUCGUAGGCGGUCUGUCGCGUCGGGAGUGAAAUCUUACAGCUUAACUGUGAACUUGCUUUCGAUACGGGCAGACUUGAGGCAUUCAGGGGAGAACGGAAUUCCUGGUGUAGCGGUGAAAUGCGUAGAUAUCUGGAGGAACACCGGUGGCGAAGGCGGCAUCCUGGACCGAUAUUGACGCUGAUGCGCGAAAGCCAGGGGAGCAAAGCGGG
rnacentral:rRNA from 1 species